UAACAAGAAAACUAAAAAUGAUGACUC
rnacentral:piRNA from 1 species